UCACGGAGUUUCUGUGCCAACAAGUCA
rnacentral:piRNA from 1 species